AGAGUUUGAUCAUGGCUCAGGAUGAACGCUGGCGGCGCGCCUAACACAUGCAAGUCGAACGAUUAAAGCACCUUCGGGUGUGUAUAAAGUGGCGAACGGCUGAGUAACACGUGGGCAACCUGCCCCUCUCAUUGGGAUAGCCACGGGAAACCGUGGAUAAUACCGAAUACUUCGGGACUUCCGCAUGGAAGGCUCGAGAAAGCUCCGGCGGAGAGGGAUGGGCCCGCGGCCUGUUAGCUUGUUGGUGGGGUAACGGCCUACCAAGGCAAUGAUGGGUAGCUGGGUUGAGAGACCGACCAGCCAGAUUGGGACUGAGACACGGCCCAGACUCCUACGGGAGGCAGCAGUGGGGAAUCUUGCACAAUGGGCGAAAGCCUGAUGCAGCGACGCCGCGUGCGGGAUGAAGGCCUUCGGGUUGUAAACCGCUUUCAGCAGGGACGAGGCGAAAGUGACGGUGCCUGCAGAAGAAGCCCCGGCUAACUACGUG
rnacentral:rRNA from 1 species